rnacentral:pre_miRNA from 1 species
CGGCAGGAGCCACUCAGGCUAGCCAAGAAGACUGCCCAUGAAACCACACCCCAAGGCCACCAAUUAAGCCUUGAGGGAGGAACAAGACACAGGCAAGUCAUCCUUGGCUAUCAGAGAAUCAGAGAUAAGGCCCUUGCAG